GAUGAAGAACGUAGCGAAAUGCGAUAAGUAAUGUGAAUUGCAGAAUUCAGUGAAUCAUCGAGUCUUUGAACGCACAUUGCGCCCCCUGGUAUUCCGGGGGGCAUGCCUGUCCGAGCGUCAUUGCUGCCCUCAAGCACGGCUUGUGUGUUGGGCCGCCGUCCCCCUCCUAGGGGACGGGCCCGAAAGGCAGCGGCGGCACCGCGUCCGGUCCUCGAGCGUAUGGGGCUUCGUCACCCGCUCCGUAGGCCCGGCCGGCGCUUGCCGACGACCAUCAAUCUCUUUCUCCAGGUUGACCUCGGAUCAGGUAGGGAUACCCGCUGAACUUAAGCAUAUCAAUAAGCGGAGGA
rnacentral:misc_RNA from 1 species